rnacentral:rRNA from 1 species
AUUGAACGCUGGCGGCAUGCUUUACACAUGCAAGUCGAACGGCAGCACGAAAGAGCUUGCUCUUUUGGUGGCGAGUGGCGAACGGGUGAGUAAUGCAUCGGAACGUACCGAGUAAUGGGGGAUAACUAUCCGAAAGGAUAGCUAAUACCGCAUACGCUUUGAGAAGGAAAGUGGGGGCUCUUCGGACCUCACGUUAUUCGAGCGGCCGAUGUCUGAUUAGCUAGUUGGUGGGGUAAAGGCCUACCAAGGCGACGAUCAGUAGCGGGUCUGAGAGGAUGAUCCGCCACACUGGGACUGAGACACGGCCCAGACUCCUACGGGAGGCAGCAGUGGGGAAUUUUGGACAAUGGGCGCAAGCCUGAUCCAGCCAUGCCGCGUGUCUGAAGAAGGCCUUCGGGUUGUAAAGGACUUUUGUUAGGGAAGAAAAGGAUAGUGUUAAUACCAUUNUCUGCNGACG